CCUACGGGAGGCAGCAGUGGGGAAUAUUGCGCAAUGGGCGAAAGCCUGACGCAGCGACGCCGCGUGAGGGAUGAAGGUCCUCGGAUCGUAAACCUCUGUUAGCAGGGAAGAACGGUCACUGUGCUAAUCAGCAGUGAAUUGACGGUACCUGCAAAGGAAGCACCGGCUAACUCCGUGCCAGCAGCCGCGGUAAUACGGAGGGUGCGAGCGUUAAUCGGAAUUACUGGGCGUAAGGGGCGCGUAGGCGGUAUGUCAAGUCAAGGGUGAAAUCCCCGCGCUCAACGUGGGAACUGCCUUUGAAACUGGCAGACUGGAGUGUGUGAGAGGAUGGUGGAAUUCCAGGUGUAGGAGUGAAAUCCGUAGAUAUCUGGAGGAACAUCAGUGGCGAAGGCGACUAUCUGGCACAUAACUGACGCUGAGGAGCGAAAGCGUGGGUAGCAAACAGGAUUAGAUACCCUUGUAGUC
rnacentral:rRNA from 1 species